rnacentral:lncRNA from 1 species
AUGAGGAAAGGCUGAGAGAGCUUGGCCUGUUUAGCCUGGAGAAGAGAAGGCUGAGAGGGGAUCUUAUUAACGUGUACAAGUAUCUGAAGGGAGGGUGUCAAGAGGAUGGGACCAGACUCUUUUCAGUGGUGCCGAGUGACAGGACGCGAGGCAAUGGGCACAAACUGAAACACAGACAGUUCCAUCUGAACAUGAGGAAAAACUUUUUCACUGUGAGGGUGACAGAGCACUGGAACAGGUUGCCCAGAGAGCUUGUGGAGUCUCCUUCUCUGGAGAUAUUCAACACGCGCCUGGAUGCAAUCCUGUGCAACGUGCUCUAGGUGACCCUGCUUGAGCAUGGGGGUUGGACUAGAUGAUCUCCAGAGGUCCCUUCCAACCUCAGCGAUUCUGUGAUUCUGUGAAUCAAAUCUUCUGCAUGGUAGCAGAAAAUUGAUAGUUUUCACGUAAUCGUUUUUCAUUGACCUACCUGAAAUUUUUAUCUGGAGUCCAUUUGCUGGAAUGGUGUGCAUAUUACAAAAAUGGCCACUGUCAUUGCUGCUGUUGACAAUUUCAGCAGAGCAGUCAAAGAGGAACAGUGCUUGGAGACUUAAUUAUCCUCACUCUCAUUUUUAGGUCUUACUUCUCCAGGCAGCCUGAUGCAGAAAGGGUGCUGGCUUGCUUUUAUCACAUCAAAGCCUGAUAACAGCAAUUCUGUGCUUACCAACCUCCCUCAUGAGCGUAUACAGCAUCCACAGAUGCCUUUGAAGACUUCUGCUGAGGAUCAUGGACCAUGUCCUAGUUCUCUAAUCCUGCAAGGAGAUAACAGUCCCACAAUGGAGGAAAUGGGCAAAAGUGAUGGAAUCAGUGAGCUGAAACAUCUGCACAUCACCAGCAGCUGCCACUGCCCUCAAGGAAAUCUUCCAGAGAAGUCCUUUGAAGGCAAAUUGCUUACCCAAAAAAGCACUUGGAUAAGUGAAGGAUACAGGAGAGUAGAAGAGAGAUCCCAAGAUAUAUUAUGGCCUGCAGAGGACAGUGGUUAUUUACAAGUAUCUCUAGAGCAGAGACACUUCUUCAUCCACUAUUCAUCCUCUCGUCAUAGCACCGCAGCAGUACACGAUGAUCAGUCAUUGCAAUGUAACAUAUGCCAACUCCAAAGGAAGUCGAGCCAACAGCACUCAAAAUAACUGUAGGAAUUGGACUGCAGAAAGGAAACUAUGCAUUUGAAUCAGUUCAGCUCCUGAAAAAUCUGUGUCCAUUUGGAGCACUGCCCUGUUCCAUGCAAAGGAUGUGAACUGGACAAUGCAAGAAAAGGAGUGAAGCCAGAAGGCAUCUUCUCGGGGUUACACCAAAGCUCAUGCUGCUAAUAAAACCAGUGAGUCUGGGGCA